rnacentral:rRNA from 1 species
UACAGAGGUCCCAAGCGUUGUUCGGAUUCACUGGGCGUAAAGGGUGCGCAGGUGGGUUUGCAAGUUCGAUGUGAAAGCCCCGGGCUUAACCCGGGAAUGGCAUUGGAUACUGCAGAUCUGGAGGAUCGGAGGGGGGACUGGAAUUCUUGGUGUAGCAGUGAAAUGCGUAGAUAUCUGGAGGAACACCGGUGGCGAAGGCGGCAUCCUGGACCGAUUACUGACGCUGAGGCGCGAAAGCUAGGGGAGCAAACGGG